rnacentral:rRNA from 1 species
GAUAGCGGGCGAUAUCUACUGCUAGCGGUGCAUAAUACCUCAUAAUGUCUACGGACCAAGGCAGAGGCCUCUUCGACCUUCGCUCCAUCAGAUGAACCCAUAUGGGAUUAGCUAGUAGGUGAGGUACCGCCUCACAUAGGCGACGAUCUAUAGUUGGUGUGAGAGGAUGAUCAGCUCACUUGGGUGUGAGACACGGCCCAGUCUCCUCCGAGAGGCAGCAGUGGGGAAUAUUGCCCAAUGGAGCGCAAUCCUGAUGCAGCCAUCCGCGUGUAAGAAGAAGUCCUUAGGGUUGUAAAGUACUUUCAGUGGGGAGGAAGGUGAUAAGGUUAAUACCUUUGGCAAUUGACGUUACCGACAGAAGAAGCACCGCCUAAUUCCGUCCCACCAGCCGCGGUAAUACGGAGGGUGCAAGCGUUAAUCGGAAUUAUUGGGGGUAAAGCACAGGCAGGCGGUUGAUUAAUUCAGAUGGAAACCCCCGGGUUUACCCCGGGAAUUCCAUGUGAAAUUGGUNAGUUAGAUUCUUGUAGAGGGGGGUAGAAUUCCAUGUGUAGCGGUGAAAUGGGUAGAAAAGUGAAGGAAUACCGGUGGGGAAGGCGGCCCCUGGUACAAAGAUUGCCGCUCAGGUGGAAAGCGUGGGAGCAACCAGGAUUAUAUCCCUGGUAGUCCACGCUNAAAAGAAUUGAUUUGGAGGUUGGCUCUGACCCUCGGUGCCGCAGCUAA